rnacentral:tRNA from 1 species
UAGGACGUAGCUAAGUAGUAAAGGCAUCUCCCUUACACUGAGAAGACACUCGUGCAAAUCGAGUCAUCCUAA